UCGAGGAUCUUCGGCAAUGGGCGCAAGCCUGACCGAGCGACGCCGCGUGCGGGAUGAAGGCCUUCGGGUUGUAAACCGCUGUCAGUGGGGAGGAAAUUUCAGUGGGUUCUCCCAUUGGAUUGACUUAUCCGCAGAGGAAGUGUGGGCUAAGCUCGUGCCAGCAGCCGCGGUAAGACGAGCCACACAAACGUUAUUCGGAAUUACUGGGCUUAAAGGGUGCGUAGGCGGCGUGGAAAGUUGGGUGUGAAAGCCCUCGGCUCAACCGAGGAAUUGCGCCCAAAACUUCCAUGCUUGAGGAAGAUAGAGGUGAGCGGAACUCAGGGUGGAGCGGUGAAAUGCGUUGAUAUCCUGAGGAACACCGGUGGCGAAAGCGGCUCACUGGAUCUUUUCUGACGCUGAGGCACGAAAGCUAGGGUAGCGAACGG
rnacentral:rRNA from 1 species